UACACAAAAUAAUCUUUUUAACUUUUGUUGACUGAUAUGAAUUAAAAGCUUUAACAUAACCAUAUAAACGCUCGUCUUUUAAAAGAUUUUUGUUCGUUAUUUAAUUAUCUUAAACAUAACCUUAAAAAACUAAACUGGUACAGUACUAAUUUGCUGGCUGUACUACAAGAUUGCGUGGUCAAACAUUUUUGUACAUUAAUAAUGUUACAUUGUUUAAUUAUUAUCUAAAUAUAGUGUUUUAGUGCAGUAAAUUAAUAAAAAACUGUUUUAUUUGUAUGUUGUUACAAUUAAUAAAUUAUAUUUGAAAGUUUAUUGAAAUAAUUAAAUUUAAAGAAUAUCGAACAAUAGGCGAGUACAAUAGACAAUGAAGUAAAUUUUAUAGAUCUGUCUUAAUAAUUUUAUUUUAUGAAAUAGCUGCAGAAAAAAUGAAAUUUACCGAAAAAUUAAAGAGAUUAAUUUUCGAAGAUAUUUACAGUUUUGGAUUUGCUGCUGUCGAAUGACAAAAUUACCGAAAAACUUAACUUUUUUCUCUUUUUAGAAAAAUAAGUUUUGCUGUAGUGACAUUUUACUUAAAAAGUAAGUCUAUAUAAUGAUGUAAUAUUAGAUGUGUAGUAUAAUUAAGGCCAGAUUUAAAAAAACUCCAGGCUCCAAAAACAUGUAUUGAUGAUCUUUUUUUGGCUAUAGAUUUUUAAUUUAUUUUCCAACUAUUCCAAAAUGAUUAUAAUAUACAGAACAAUAUUGGUAUACUAUAUUUAACAAUUUUUUUUUAGUUUUGAUACCUGCUAUUGUAAGUUAUCAUCUGUAUUAUUAAGUAUGCACUUAUAAGUAAACUAAGAUACUUCAAUAUCAUAAGAUUAAUAUCCUAAUCAUAUUAAGAAACAAAAAAAGAUUGUAAUCAUGAUUUUUUAUUACUGUCUAUCAUAAUAAAGUCAUCUAUCGAAUUAACAUAUAGUUCUUGAACAAACUAAAUUAUAGUUUUUGUACAAUUUUGAUGUCUAUUGGUUUUGUAUACACUUGUCUUAACAUACUACAUUAGUAAGCUUUAAUUUCAUAUCAGAUCAACAUUAGAAUGAAUUGUUAUACUACAAAUACAGUAUUGUAGCUAAAUUUCUCAUUUGAAUUUUCAUUGAACAAUAUUAGAUUGCAAAAAAAUAAAUAAAUCUAAUAGUAAUUGUUAAAUUUUUUAAUUAAAAUAGGGCAAUGUAAUAAAGUAAUACAUGUAGUUAUUAUAGUACUAUUUUUAUGAUGUAAUAUUAGAGGGAGUAGUAAGAAAAUAUCUUAAAAUUUAAGAUAUAAGUAAUUGUUAUUUUAUAUGUUACUUUCAAGUAUUUAAAAAAAAAUUAUAGUAAAAUUAUUAUUUUUAUAGAUAAUAUGUUUACAUCAGUAGAAUUUUGAUAAGGUUAAGAAUAUUGCGUUCCUUGAAAAAGAAAAUUUUACUCAAAAGAAAUAAAUAUUAUAGAUAAUACAAAUAAAUUAUUUGUAGUUGUAUAGCUAAAAGAUUUGAAUGUGGUAGGUUAGACUAGUUAAAGCAAUUAGUUUAAAUUUAAAAGCUGUUAAUUAUUAAAAUAAAUACAUAAAUUCAUUAAAACUUCACAAAUUUUAGUAUUGCCAAUUGGAAUCAAUCUGUUAUAUUUUUAUAAGUGUUGAAUACAAACUCAAAUUCUUAAAUAAUUUUAAGUCAAAUUUUUUUUUAAUAGUUCAAAAACCUUAUUAAGUUAAAAAAAUAAUUUCCCUUGAGCCUUAACUUAUCCAGGUUGUACUGUAUUUUAAAAUUGGCAUCAGUGCCGUGCCAUGAAAAGGGCAUAGGAUGAUAUAAGGUUCAUACACUUUGCAAUAUUUAAUUGUUAUAACUGAUAGUUAUUUAAUAUUAGAGGAUGCUAACAUAUAAUUUAAAAAAAAAUUAUAUAUAUAAAUUUUAUAAAUUAAAAUAAAUAAAUAAUAAAUAAAUUUUUACCUAUUCUCUUUUCAUUGUGUCAGUGCUAGGUUUUACAGUUUUUCUUGUGCUUGAAAGAAAGUAGUUUAGGUGGGAUACAUUUCUUCCAAUAAAAAUUAUUACAUGAUGAAGAUAUUAUUAUUUUUUUUAAGGGAGAAAUAAUAGUUAUUCAGAACAAAAACUCCAUACUAGACCUAACCCCAAGACCUAUACUAGUGGAGGCAUGAUUGCAAUGCAUUUUAUGAGGGAUCAAGGUUUUUUUUGUGAAACUGGUUAUUUUUCAUUAGGAAUUGUUAAAAUGUCUGUAUGAGGGUUAUCUUAAUACUUAAUUUUCUAUGGCAUUAUGCAUAUUCUACAUGAAUUCAUGUAUUACGCAUAUUCUGUCAUGGAAUAAAGUAUAAGGUAUAACUCUCAUACAGGUGUUUCACAAUUCCAAAGUGAAAAAAAUUCUAAGUUGAGCAAAAAAAAUAAAGUUUUCUACAAAAUAAUGAUAAAAAAUAAUUGAAACGGUCAUUUCAAAAAUGACAUGAGUAAUAAAAUUUAAAUUUCCAUGUAUCAAAAAAACUUAAUUACUCUAGAAAUCUA